GUGUUCCAGGUAAAUCCGGUUCACUUUAACACUGAGGCGUGACGACGAGGCACUACGGUGCUGAAGCAACAAAUGCCCUGCUUCCAGGAAAAGCCUCUAAGCAUCAGGUAACAUCAAAUCGUACCCCAAACCGACACAGGUGGUCAGGUAGAGAAUACCAAGGCGCUUGAGAGAACUCGGGUGAAGGAACUAGGCAAAAUGGUGCCGUAACUUCGGGAGAAGGCACGCUGACACGUAGGUGAAGUGAUUUACUCAUGGAGCUGAAGUCAGUCGAAGAUACCAGCUGGCUGCAACUGUUUAUUAAAAACACAGCACUGUGCAAACACGAAAGUGGACGUAUACGGUGUGACGCCUGCCCGGUGCCGGAAGGUUAAUUGAUGGGGUCAGCGCAAGCGAAGCUCCUGAUCGAAGCCCCGGUAAACGGCGGCCGUAACUAUAACGGUCCUAAGGUAGCGAAAUUCCUUGUCGGGUAAGUUCCGACCUGCACGAAUGGCGUAAUGAUGGCCAGGCUGUCUCCACCCGAGACUCAGUGAAAUUGAACUCGCUGUGAAGAUGCAGUGUACCCGCGGCAAGACGGAAAGACCCCGUGAACCUUUACUAUAGCUUGACACUGAACAUUGAGCCUUGAUGUGUAGGAUAGGUGGGAGGCUUUGAAGUGUGGACGCCAGUCUGCAUGGAGCCGACCUUGAAAUACCACCCUUUAAUGUUUGAUGUUCUAACGUGGACCCGUAAUCCGGGUUGCGGACAGUGUCUGGUGGGUAGUUUGACUGGGGCGGUCUCCUCCUAAAGAGUAACGGAGGAGCACGAAGGUUGGCUAAUCCUGGUCGGACAUCAGGAGGUUAGUGCAAUGGCAUAAGCCAGCUUGACUGCGAGCGUGACGGCGCGAGCAGGUGCGAAAGCAGGUCAUAGUGAUCCGGUGGUUCUGAAUGGAAGGGCCAUCGCUCAACGGAUAAAAGGUACUCCGGGGAUAACAGGCUGAUACCGCCCAAGAGUUCAUAUCGACGGCGGUGUUUGGCACCUCGAUGUCGGCUCAUCACAUCCUGGGGCUGAAGUAGGUCCCAAGGGUAUGGCUGUUCGCCAUUUAAAGUGGUACGCGAGCUGGGUUUAGAACGUCGUGAGACAGUUCGGUCCCUAUCUGCCGUGGGCGCUGGAGAACUGAGGGGGGCUGCUCCUAGUACGAGAGGACCGGAGUGGACGCAUCACUGGUGUUCGGGUUGUCAUGCCAAUGGCACUGCCCGGUAGCUAAAUGCGGAAGAGA
rnacentral:rRNA from 1 species